rnacentral:rRNA from 1 species
UACGGAGGGGGCUAGCGUUGUUCGGAAUUACUGGGCGUAAAGCGCACGUAGGCGGCUUUGUAAGUUAGAGGUGAAAGCCCGGAGCUCAACUCCGGAAUUGCCUUUAAGACUGCAUCGCUUGAAUCAUGGAGAGGUUACUGGAAUUCCCGGUGUAGCGGUGAAAUGCGCAGAGAUCGGGAGGAACACCAAUGGCGAAAGCAGGUAACUGGACUAUUACUGACACUCAGCUGCGAAAGCUAGGGGAGCAAACAGG